GAAAUCCUCAUGUUAACGGUUCCAAUCUCCAAUCCAGAUUGGUAGG
rnacentral:tRNA from 1 species